rnacentral:rRNA from 1 species
CAGCUCGCCACGGUAAUACGUAGGGUGCGAGCGUUAAUCGGAAUUACUGGGCGUAAAGCGUGCGCAGGCGGUUAUAUAAGACAGAUGUGAAAUCCCCGGGCUCAACCUGGGACCUGCAUUUGUGACUGUAUAGCUAGAGUACGGUAGAGGGGGAUGGAACUCCGCGUGUAGCAGUGAAAUGCGUAGAUAUGCGGAGGAACACCGAUGGCGAAGGCAAUCCCCUGGACCUGUACUGACGCUCAUGCACGAAAGCGUGGGGAGCAAACGGGAUUAGAUACCCCGGUAGUCCCUGUCUCUUAUA